CCUACGGGAGGCAGCAGUGGGGAAUCUUGCGCAAUGGGCGAAAGCCUGACGCAGCAACGCCGCGUGCGGGAAGAAGGCUUUCGGGCUGUAAACCGCUUUCAGCAGGAACGAAAAUGACGGUACCUGCAGAAGAAGGAGCGGCCAACUAUGUGCCAGCAGCCGCGGUGAUACAUAGGCUUCAAGCGUUGUCCGGAUUUAUUGGGCGUAAAGAGUUCGUAGGCGGUCGAGUAAGUCGGGUGUGAAAAUUCUGGGCUCAACCCAGAGACGCCACCCGAUACUGCUUGACUUGAGUUCGAUAGGGGAGUGGGGAAUUCCUAGUGUAGCGGUGAAAUGCGCAGAUAUUAGGAGGAACACCGGUGGCGAAGGCGCCACUCUGGAUCGAUACUGACGCUGAGGAACGAAAGCAUGGGUAGCAAACAGGAUUAGAUACCCUGGUAGUCCAUGCCGUAAACGGUGGGCACUAGGUGUGGGAUUCUAUUAACGAAUUCCGCGCCGUCGCUAACGCAUUAAGUGCCCCGCUGGGGAUCGGNGCAAGCUAAACNCAAGGAUUG
rnacentral:rRNA from 1 species